AAGUAGACAAGGGCGCACGGUGGAUGCCUAGGCUCCCGGAGGCGAUGAAGGACGCGGCAAGCUGCGAAAAUCCGCGGGGAGGCGCAAGCAGCCCCCGAUCCGCGGGUCUCCGAAUGGGACAACCCGUCAUCCUGAAGGGAUGACAUCCAUCAGGGAUGGAGGCCAACGCGGGGAACUGAAACAUCUUAGUACCCGCAGGAAAAGAAAACAAGAGUGAUUCCCCGAGUAGCGGCGAGCGAAAGGGGAACAGCCCAAACCGUCGGCGUUUCGGCGCCGUCGGGGUUGUAGGACCUCCAUGGUCCGUAUGUGGAAGGCGAGCGGAACGGCCUGGAACGGCCGGCCGUAGCGGGUGACAGCCCCUUACGCGCAGCCUUCCCCGUCGGCGGGGGAAUCCUGAGUAGCGCGGGACA
rnacentral:rRNA from 16 species